UAGAUUAUGGACAGCCCUUUGAGUUUUGGGUGGUAAUUAUAGCUUUUGAAUUCAAAGGAGGGGAAUUGCGAUUUCACCAAACCAUACCAUGGGUUCCACUCCACGGACCAUGAACUUCUCACGUACUAUUUAUUUUUCAACUUCUGAUAGUAUGACGUAUUUUACGAUCAAUUCAAGGGCGCCCAGAGCCAUGCCAAGUCAUAAAGUCAUUAAAAAGAGAGCGCUUGUGAACAAAUGAAGUGUCAUUUCAUGAUUUAAACUUUUUCUUUCAAAAAACCGUCUGCUUCUCUUGCUUUCUUCUCUGUACAGAUACAGAUCAAAACGACUUACUCAGGGUUAAAGCUAAACUUCUCACGUGUUCCCCGAUGACGACCCUUUUUCGCCAAUCAUUUUUCAGUUCGCAAAAAUAUAAUAAGAGAAGACAAUAAUCUGGUGCAAAUCGGCUUGUCAUAUACAAUCAUGUUCGAAGCUCACGUAUGAAUUAUUUUUCAUUUUACUUUUGUUUAUAUAUUUAAUUUCGUGUUAGUUGAAUUGGAGCUACGUGAAUCACUAGUUUAUAAUUUUGAUGAUGGUGGAUGUCGUUUUCGGUAUCAUGUAGUGUUAAAGCUUGACAAGUUUAUUACUAUUAUAUAAUCUAGCUUUGUUGCUUUAAGAAUUAAUUAAGUUCAAUGGGAACCGUCUUAUUUUUUUGGCUAAUUAUUUUUUCUUUUUGCAUUGUCAUGUUCGGAAUCAGUUACAUGCGGAGCAAAUUAUAUUGAUUAAAGGAUUUUAGAAUUUCGUAAUAUUUUAUUUAUAUUUUUCUUGUGAGUUAUUGUCGUGAAUUUGAGUUGUUUUUGGCUUGAUUAUAAAUCUGUUGGUUUUAUUACUUGAUAAUUUAUUCUUGUGUAAGUUGACGUGAAUAAUGGAGAGGUUUAUAACGGUUCUUCACUUGUAGGUUCUGCAUUUGCUUCGAAGAUAUUUGGGUGAAUAUGUCCAUGGACUUUCUGUGGAGGCUUUAAGAAUCAGUGUUUGGAAAGGUGAUGUGGUUUUGAAAGAUUUGAAUUUGAAGGCGGAGGCACUAAAUUCUUUAAAGCUCCCUGUGAUUGUCAAAGCUGGUUUUGUUGGUACCGUAACAUUGAAGGUGGCUAUCAUCAAUCUUGUAACUAAUUGAUUUUCUUGACUCAAAUUUUAUCUUGUUUGAUUAAA